UACGAAGGGAGCGAGCGUUGUUCGGAAUCACUGGGCUUAAAGCGUGCGUAGGUGGAUAUGUAAGUCAGAAGUGAAAUCCCCGGGCUUAACCCGGGAACUGCUUUUGAGACUGCAUGUCUGGAAUUCGGUAGAGGUUAGUGGAAUAUCCAGUGUAGAGGUGAAAUUCGCAGAUAUUGGAUGGAACACCAGUGGCGAAGGCGACUAACUGGACCGACAUUGACACUGAGGCACGAAAGCGUGGGUAGCAAACAGG
rnacentral:rRNA from 1 species